AGCAGCCGCGGUAAUUCCAGCUCCAAUAGCGUAUAUUAAAGUUGUUGCAGUUAAAAAGCUCGUAGUUGAACUUCGGGGUCUACCCAUUGGUCAGGUUUAAUUAUCUGUACUGGUGAGAUAAAUCUCUACCUUCUGAGGAACUUUCAUGCCAUUUAUUUGGUGUGGGAGGAAAUCAGGACUGUUACUUUGAAAAAUUAGAGUGUUUAAAGCAGGCUAACGUCUGAAUACAUUAGCAUGGAAUAAUGAAAUAGGACGGACUGAUUCUAUUUCGUUGGUUUCUAGGAUCACCGUAAUGAUUAAUAGGGAUAGUUGGGGGCAUUAGUAUUCAAUUGUCAGAGGUGAAAUUCUUGGAUUUAUUGAAGACUAACUACUGCGAAAGCAUUUGCCAAGGAUGUUUCAUUAAUCAAGAACGAAAGUUAGGGGAUCGAAGACGAUCAGAUACCGUCGUAGUCUUAACCAUAAACUAUGCCGACUAGGGAUCGGACGAAGUUAAUUUUAUAAUGAACGUCGUUACGGCUAC
rnacentral:rRNA from 1 species